rnacentral:rRNA from 1 species
GACGAACGCUGGCGGCGUGCUUAACACAUGCAAGUCGAACGAAGUGGCGAACGGGUGAGUAACGCGUAAUCAACCUGCCCUUCAGAGGGGGACAACAGUUGGAAACGACUGCUAAUACCGCAUACUGAUGGAGUGGAUUGCGUCUGAUUAGCUAGUUGGAGGGGUAACGGCCCACCAAGGCGAUGAUCAGUAGCCGGGCUGGGGUGAUGAACGGGCACAUUGGGAAUGAGACACGGCCCAGGAUCCUAAGGGAGGCAGCAGUGGGGAAUUUUCCGCAAUGGAGGAAAGGCGGAAGGAGGAAAGGCGGGUGAGAGAUGACGGCCUUCGGGUUGUAAAGCUCUGUUAAUCGGGACGCGGUACCGGAAUAGAAAGCAACGGCUAACUACGUGCCAGCAGCCGCGGUAAUUC